UAGUGAAGUGCAAUAAGGCGGAAAAAGCUUGGGUUCUAAAUUUGUUUGAAAGAGAGUCUAAAAGAGAGAAAAUUCUAAGUGGAAUAAAUAAAGAAGCAACACUAAGGAACAGAUCUAAGUUAGUAAUGAAGAACGCUAUAGAAUCUGGUCUACUAGUGGGAGCUGCUAAAGAUAAAAAUAUACAGAUUGAUCCAGUCAAGAUGGCAGAGAACGAUUUUUUCCGGGCUCUGAAGGAAGAAAAGGAAAGAAGGGAGAAGGAAGGGCGGCCCAUAGUAUUUACCGACGACGUUUGAAAGAAAAAAAUGGAGAUUGAGAAAAAUAUCUUAAAAUUUUCAUCUGAAUAUUUUCCCUUCAACAUCGUCAAUCAAUUGUUAAUAAUUAUAUAUGCGUAUCUAGUGAGCUUCGUGCCAAUAUAUUCGUUUUUUUCUUCUGACCUGUUUAAACAUAAUUUAACAUUAUAAAAGUAAAGGUACGCCAUUGCAUCAUCAUAACACCUUCAUUUGUCAUUGUUGAAAGAUUUAAAGUAAAUAACUUUAGUUCAGAAUGCACAGUUCAAAAAAAUUUCUCCUGACCAAUAAAAAUGUAUUUCAGCGUGCACAACUUGAAAACAUUUCUCCAGACCAAGAUAACUUUAGCUCAGCGUGCACACUUUGAAAAAUUUCUCCAGACCAAGAUAACUUUAGUUCAGCGUGCAUAGUUUGAAAACAUUUCUCCCUGCCAAGAUAACUUUAGUUCAGCGUGCAUAGUUUGAAAACAUUUCUCCCUGCCAAGAUAACUUUAGUUCAGCGUGCACAGUUUGAAAACAUUUCUCCCUGCCAAGAUAACUUUAGUUCAGCGUGCACAGUUUGAAAACAUUUCUCCCGACCAAGAUAACUUUAGUUCAGCGUGCACAGUUUGAAAACAUUUCUCCCUGCCAAGAUAACUUUAGUUCAGCGUGCACAGUUUGAAAACAUUUCUCCCGACCAAGAUAACUUUAGUUCAGCAUGCACAGUUGGAAAACAUUUCUCCCGGCCAAGGACUUUUAAAUACUUGACGUUAAGAGUAAUGUAAUGUAUAGUUGACACUGAAGAUAAAUUUAAGAUUCUAUCCGACAAUACUAGUUAGUAAACACAUACAUUAAACAGUUGAUCAGGUAGAUUUUUUGCAAUAUUCAACAGCUGAUCACGUGGAUUUUUUGCAAGAAGCUGGAUGGGUUUCAACGUUUAACCCUAUCCCGAUCUAAGUUUCAGAAUUCAGAACAACAAAUUGACUGCCUAAAUCUUUCUCUAAAUAUGAGAUUGAUACGUCUUUACCAAUUAUCAAAAAUAUCAACAUAAUAUCUAGAGUGUAUCAAAGAAUGCCUUUGAAUUUACUAAUUUAUUCUAAUGUGUAUACUUUAUUUAAAAAUAGGCUUUUCAUGCCUGCUGCGAUUCAAAUCCUUCAUAUUCGUAUACUUAUUACAAGUUAUUCUCCAUAACUAAAACAUGACUUGCACUGAAACACUUGUGCUGUAGUAAAUGCCUACUCCUAGGAAUACUUUUAAAUUAGUACCAAUCCAGGUGCAACUCAAUCCCUCUCCUUAAUCCACGUGGUAUAAUAAUCCAGGCAUAUUCUUCCAUAUGCUUAGGUAUCUAUGUUUCAAGAUACAACUCAUUGUUAUUCCCAAUCUAUAUCUAUCUUUCAAAAAAGUGGUUCAGGACGCUUCUCUUUCGCUAACUAAGAAGAAUCACUCUCACACUGUAUAAUCAAAGCGGUAUAUUUUUACAACUGACGUUUAUUUUGAUUUAUAUGUUACAGUUUUGCUAACCGCAGUACAGGUUUGACUUAGUUAUUAACAGACGUAGCUAGAUUAGGUUAAUUGCAAUACAAGAUUUUGCGUAAUUAUUUACAAGCGCAUUUAGAUUACAGACAAUGUACAAUGUAAUGUAUGUUCAGGUUUACAAAUAUAGGGUUUGCUACGAUAUUUGUUACAGUGCGAUCGUAUUAAGGACAAAAGUUAAGUUUUAAGUCUAUUUUUAACUCUUAUAAGACAGAGAUAAACUAAAGAAAAUCGCAGAAUAAAAUUUAUUUUAAAUUCACAUUACAGAAACAUCUGAGAGAAAUUAUAACAUUUCUAAUCGAUUCACAACUUAUUUUCAAAUUUAAUUUUUUUACAUUUUUGCAAACCCUGUAGAUGUAAAUUGCACAUGCAAAUUCGCCCGUGAUGAGUUAAAUGCACAAAUUGUUCUCCUUUUGCGAAUUCGCGUUAAUUCAAGUUCUAUGCAUUUUGGUUUGCAAGAUUUUCAUGAACUUAAACAUUUCUAAAAUCAGUUUUGAGAAAUCUCAGAUCUGAAAGAAUUAUCAGAGAAAAAUAUGUUAGGUUCGUAACCUACAUAAAAUCAAAUGUUACACAUGCUCUCUUUCAUUUCGAAAUUACAAACUUUUUGUUCAAAACCAGAUGAACAUUCUUGUCAUGGCAAUCUCAUACAGCUUAUUAAAUAUCACAUAGAUCUAGACUAAAGUGAAAAGUUGGGUCAAUUUUCAAGCCUUUUUCGACUUUUAAGUUCUUGGCCUUAUAUACUUGUUACAUUUUAGAACUAUAAAACAAUUGCCUUUAGCUUUAGUUUUCAAAAUUCUCAUCGAUUUUUUCCUGAGAGCAACUUGUGGAUCAGCUAAUGAUCAGGCUAAAACGAAUAUACAACAGCUAGAGAAUAAAAUCGCUGCUAUUUUUUUAAUGUUGUCAAAAUUAAAAUUCAAAAAUAACUGUUAAAAAAAACACAUACAAAAUGUUAAGAUUUCUUAUACCGGUGUAUAAACCACUACGCUCAUACAGCUUAAAAUAGAAAUGUCAUUUUACUAUGUUAACCUUGCAAAUAUAUCUUAUUCUUUCAAACACUUCAUUAUUCUGGAAACUACUAAA